UAGAACCUGAGACCCAGAAUGUUCUCUGAGUU
rnacentral:piRNA from 1 species